rnacentral:rRNA from 1 species
AAUCGGAAUGCAGGGUGUAGCGGUGAAAUGCGUUGAUAUCCUGCAGAACACCGGAGGCGAAGGCGGAUUCCUGGAACGCAACUGACGCUGAGGCGCGAAAGCCGGGGGAGCAAACAGGAUUAGAUACCCUGGUAGUCCCGACCUUAAACGGUGCACACUCGGGGUGGGGCCAUUUCACCGGCCCCGUCUCUCAGCUAACGCGUUAAGUGUGCCGCCUGGGGAGUACGGCCGCAAGGCUAAAACUCAAAGAAAUUGACGGGGGCCCGCACAAGCAGAGGAGCAUGUUGCUUAAUUCGAUGCAACGCGAAGAACCUUACCUGGGCUUGACAUCCAGCUGCACGGCCUGUGAAAGCAGGCUUCCUUCGAGGGUGCUGGACAGGUGCUGCAUGGCUGUCGUCAGUUCGUGCCGUGAGGUGUUUGGUUAAGUCCACCAACGAACGCAACCCCUUUGGGAUGUUGCCAGCGGGUAACGCCGGGAACUCGUCCCAGACUGCUUGUUCACGCAAGAGGAAGGUGGGGAUGACGUCAAGUCAGUAUGGCCCUUACGCCCAGGGCUGCACACGUGCUACAAUGGCCGGUACAGAGGGAAGCGAGACCGCAAGGUGGAGCCAACCCCACAGAGCCGGCCCCAGUUCAGAUCGGGGUCUGCAACCCGACCCCGUGAAGUCGGAUUUGCUAGUAACGGCGUAUCAGCUACGACGCCGUGAAUGCGUUCCCGGGCCUUGUACACACCGCCCGUCACAUCAUGAAAGCCGUCUGCACCCGAAGUCCGGCAUUCGUCGGCCUAAGGUGUGGGUGGUGAUUGGGAUGAAGUCGUAACAAGGUAACCGUUGGGGAACCAGCGGUUG